GCAGUGUGGGUUUCAGUACAGAUUGCAAACAAUGGUGAUGAUAAUAUGUCUAGAAUUUAUGUCUUUUGUAAACUUAAAAAAAAAAACAUUCUUGUAAGCUUUAGAACAUUGAUUUGAAUCUUCGUCUCAUGGGUCAAAUGGACUCCAGGUGAGUACCCCUGUCAAUCAACAGCCUAAAGUUGCCUACUGCCUAUUCCAGAGGGUGGGAUCCCUCCUUCUUGCCCUGGUUGGGGGACUCAUCUCCCCCAACUAUUAUGAAGACCAUGAGCCUAAAAGUCUCAAAUAUACAUUUAAAAAAAUUGUCCCUAAACUUCUAACUUUAUCUUCUGCCCCUAAUCUAUUCAUCAGUUCCGGCAUUCUGGCAGGUUUGGCUGUUGCCUCAAAAUCUGCAUCCAGGACAGCUUCAAAGCAGCGAGUCCCAGAUGGUCCAGCCUCACAGACUUCUUCAGGCAGAGAAGCUCAGGUGAAGGAGUGCUCAAACCUUCCUUUCAUUUCUGUGCCGUUCUUCAAUUUCUACCUCAAGCUACAGAAGUCCCACCAAUCCCACUGCAAAGCCCAGUCUCACAGACCUCACUCCGAAUGUUUCUGGCCUUCCCCUUCUACAUUCACAAUUCUGCAGCAUCUCUUUCCUCAGAUUGCCGCAGAGACCAGCACCAACCAGGGAGCAGCAGGUGAGACCCCUCCCCCGCCUCCUGGCCUCCUAAGCCUGCCAGCAGCAGUGGUGAAGUCUGCCCACCUCUGUGCUCCACUUCCCCAGCGCCACUUCCUGGGACCUGCCCUGACCUGUGGUCCUGGAGCCCAGCAUCCAUCAGGGUAGCAAAGAAAAUGUUACAACGAAAAGGUUCCUGAUACAAAACAUCUGAGAAAUCUGAGACGCUAUGAGAAGACCAAAGCUACAAAUAAAAGGAAUGUAAGAAGACGCCCAGCUCCAAGGUCCAGAAAAUAUUUUCAACAAAACCAUAGCAGAAAACGUCCCCAACCUAAACAAUGAGAUGCCCAUAAACAUACAAGAGCUUACAGAACACCAAAGAGAAAAUCCUCCCACCACAUAAUAAUCGAAACUCUAAGUGUAUAAAGGAAGUAUAUUAAAAGCUGCAAGGGGAAAAGGCCAGGUCACAUACAAAGGUCACAUGCACAUACAUAGGUCUCACACCUAUGAGAAUUACACCUGACUUCUCACUAGAAACUCUAAAAGCAAGAAGGGAUUGGACAAAUAUUUUACAGACACUAAGAAACCACAGAAGUCAGUCCCAACUACUAUAUCCAGCAAAUCUCUUAAUCACCAUAGAUGAAGGAAAUAUAUUCCAUGACAAAAACAAAUUUAAACCAUAGCUAUCUACAAACCAAGCCCUACAGAGAUACUAGAUGAAAAUUCCAACCCAAGGAGGCUAAUUACACCCAGGAAAAAAAACAAACAGGAAAUAAAUAACCCCACAACAGCAACACCUAAAGAAGGGAAGCACAUCUCUCUCUCUCUCUCUCUCUCUCUCUCUCUCUCUCUCUCUCUCUCUGUCUCCCACCACCAACUUCCAAAAUAACAGGAAUUAACAACCACUGGUCAUUAAUAUCACUCAAUUAUCAAUGGCCUCAAGUCAUCAAUUAAGAGACACAGGCUAACAGAAUAGAUGUGAAAAUAGGGCCCAUCAUUCUGCUGUAUACAAGAAACAUUACCUCUGCAGUAAAGAUUACAUGAGAUAGAGAUGGUAAAAGGUUUUCCAAGCAAAUGGACCCAAGAAGCAAGCUGGAGUAGCCAUCCUGGUAUCUAAUAAAAUAAACUUUCAAACAAAAUUAAUCAAAAGAGAUGGGAAGUAUACUCAUACUCAUCAAAAGAAAAAUUGACCAAGAUGCAAUGGCACCCACAUUUGUAAAAGAAACAUUACUAAAACUUAAAUCACACAUUGAACCCUACACAUUCAGAGCAGGAGACUUCAACACACCCCUCUCACCAAUGGACAGAUCUUCAAGACAAAACUAAACACAGAAAUAAUGAAACUAACCGAUGUUAUGAGUCAAUGGGACCCAACAAAUAUCUAUAGACCAUUCUAUCCAAACAUAAAAGAAUAAACUUUCUUCUCAGCACCUCAUGAAACCUUCUCCAAAACUGACCACCUACUCAGACACAAAGAAAGCCUCAAUAGAUAAAAGAAAUUUGAAAUAAUGCCUUGUAUUCCAUCAGAUCAUCAUGGACUAAAGCUGGACUUCAACAACAAAAGCAACAGAAAUCCUACAAACUCAUGGAAACUGAAAAAACCCUCUACUCAAUGUCCGCUGGGUCUGGGAGGAAAUAAAGAAAGAAAUUAAACACUAUAAUUCAAUGGAAACAAAGGCACCUCACACCCAAACAUAUGGGACAGAGUAAAAGCAUUGCCAAGAGUGUUAUACGGGCAGGCAAUUAAACUGGCCUGCCCUCAGGGGCCUUUAGGGUCCUGACAACAUCCUAUGUCACCACCUGUGCCAGGGCUCACCAGGAUAUAGCCUGCCUGCCCCCUUCCUCAGCUUCUCUCUACCCUCCCCCUUUCUACAGUGACUCUUAUACCAUACAUGUCGCCUGGGCCCGUAUCUUUAUACAUUACAGUACUGGUGCCCAGACCCGUGGGGAUCUGUGCGGUCACGCAGGGACCCUUACAUCCGCCAUGUUGUGCACAACAACCUUGCUUUCUGUUCCACCCAUCACGAGGUGCCCCGUUCAACACUGACUGGUGGGUUCCCUUCCUGUUCAGCUUAACCAUCAAUGGCUUGGAUCCUUUCCCGGGGUGUUACUUUCUCUUCCACCAGCAAGUCUCCCCCCUCUCUCUUUUUCUCCUGCUCAAGCUCCUGGUGCCAGGUGAAAUCGCGCUGCCCUGGGCGUCUGCCCUGGCCCUGGCCCUGGCAAACCCUGUGAUGACACAUUUGACCAGUUUUUGCCAACUUGGUCGUAGCCAACCCUGAACGAAGUGGGAUGCCAUGGGUUGGGUUCACGGCUUAUUUCUCUCAUGGGAACAGCAUACCCAAUUCAGACCUUCAAGGAUUUUGGAAACACAUAGCUUCUAAAUUGUCUCAUGACAGCCCAAAUGAUCUGGAGAACUUUCAGAACUUGGUUUUAUUCCGUCUAGUCGCUCUCUCAUAGUCUUCCCAUGCUGACUCCCUUCUGUCUGCCACACACGCAAAGGAUUUCCUGUCUCUCCUGGUACCAAACUUCAGGACCUAUUUCCAAACAGCCGCAGCUUUCAUCUGUAGGCCUGUCUGCUGCUACUAGUGUUACAUAAACAAUCGCCCACUGCAUGCCACCUGACCUCAGGCCCUGAUGUGGGUGAGGAUGGUUUUAAAGUUGCUGGCACCAGGCCACUGGGCCAGAACUUCUGGCCCUGCUGCCACAAGCCCCUCCAUGGGUCCGUUGUUGUAAGUGGUGAUUAAUAAUUACUAAUAAUUAUCUUUUAGUAAGGCUUGCUGUUAAACCUAACAGCUGUAUACUCAAAUCACCACACAGAGACUGGGCUUAUUUAGUUAGCCUAGAGCACAAUGCUGGGCAAUAGUUACUUCAUCCUAAACUCCAAGCCCUCAUAGUUACCUAACAUUUAGAUUUCCCACAUUAUACUUGCUUUUUGUUGACUAUUAUGUCCAGUCCAUCUCCCUGUAGUUCCAAGAUCUCUCCUCCAGUUCUCUCUCCUAGCUCCCUCUCGCCCCUUCUCCUCCCACACAUUUCCUGUCCUCUGGCUCCUCCCAUCCCUCAACACUGUGUCUAGUUGCUUUAUUUUGGCCUGUUUACACAAAAUUGAGACAGAAUGCUUAGAAUGAGUAUCACAAUGCAAUAUCCGGAUUGAAACCAGAGAGUGGGGGGUAGGGGUGGGGAGAAAUCAGCAUUUGGUCAGCAUUUGAAUGAACAAGGGUAAGGUGUAUACAUUUCAAAGGAACAUUAUACCAACAGUCUGUGCAGAGUUUUUAAAUUUUGCUGAUGCUACAAGGCCGUGCCACACAUGGACAAUUUUGAACCACCCCAUGCCUUGAGGCCACCACAGGGCCAGGCCCACCAUGCCACCAGGGUUGUGUACAACACAUGGCUAGUCACGAUGUUGAUUCUGGGACACGCAUGGCUGCAGUCACAUGACUGGCAGCCAUUUUGGUUAUGGGAAAGUCAUGACUUUGCCACCAUCUUUAUUAAAGGCUACUAGCCCCAUUCAUUACCUGAGGUAGCCAUUCCAUUGGACCUGAGAUGGUCACGUGUGUGCAAAUCAUGCUGACUCACUAUUGUUGUUUUCAGCAGCCACCGCCUGUUUUGCUUGGUUAAGUUUACUUGGAAAGUCCCUUGUGGUUUGCCUAUAUAAGUGGCUUAUUCUGUAAUAAAGAUGGCACCUUGAUCAGAGCACUGUCUUGGUGUCCCUCUUUGUGUUCUCUGUCUCUUUUAAUUCUCAGACCCUUGUGGAGGCGGUUACUAUUGGUGGUCACAGGUGACUACAGGUGGUACCGAAACCCCAGGAUUGAACCUGACA